ensembl:snRNA U1 U1 spliceosomal RNA
UUUUUCAGUAGCCAACAGCAGCACCAUGAUCCCAAAUGUAGUUUUCCCAGUGAGAUUCAUACCUUGCACUUCCAGUGUGCUGCUCCCUGCAGUUUCCCCAAAUGCAGGAAACCUGAUUGCAUAAUUUGAGGUAGUAGGAGACUGAAUUUAUGCUUUCGUUUA